GUGGUUUGUCAUGAUAGUCCAUGACACCAUGUGCUUGUGCUUGCUGCAUUUUGCCCUUGGAUGAUUAAUUCUAUUCCUCCACUAGGUAUAACUUCAAUAAUAUUACAUUGAACAUUACUUGGCAAAUUUCUAUAUGUUUAAAAAAUUUACUACUUAUUCCUUCAACGCUGGGAUUGUUUCUCAAUUUGAAUAUCCAUGGACACAAUAGGACUUAUGAAGCAAGAAGUGGUACUUGUCCGCAAUGGAGAUGGACCCCCAGUGCAGAAAGUGGUGUAUGUCGACUUUGGUGACUACUGGGGCAUGAAGAGGGAAGAGCUUGCAAGUAGUCAUCGACAACAGGUACCAUAUGCCUUUGGAGAGAAGAAACCACAGACGAUAAAAGAUAAAUUAGAUGGAGAACCAAAGAGACAAAGAAGAAAAAGAUGCAGAGAUCAACAAGAAGCAAAGAAACGAGUAGAAGGAUCAGAAACAGCAGUAGAAGAAGCCUCUGCUUCUUGUGUCUCUGUACAUGGAGAGGAAGCAGAGAAACCAGCUGAGGAAGAACAAGAAGUAGAACAUAGGGCAGUAAGCAAUGGUUAAGUUGUGACCAGUUUAAUGAAGUGUUGUCGAUGGUUGAUGGUGACAUAAGGAAGACCAAUACCACCUACAGGGAGGCAAUUAGUAGCAGAGAGCGACUAGCAAUUUGUUUGAGGUAAAAAAUUAUCCAACUUAAUUAGAAAUGAGAAGUGAAAGAACAGCAAAAUAAAUCUUUGUUUAAAUUUCAAAUAUU
rnacentral:misc_RNA from 1 species